rnacentral:rRNA from 1 species
UAAGGAAUAUUGGUCAAUGGACGCAAGUCUGAACCAGCCAUGCCGCGUGGAGGAUGAAGGUCCUCUGGAUUGUAAACUUCUUUUAUUUGGGAAGAAACCCAUAGUUUCUACUGUGGUUGACGGUACCAGAUGAAUAAGCACCGGCUAACUCCGUGCCAGCAGCCGCGGUAAUACGGAGGGUGCAAGCGUUAUCCGGAUUCACUGGGUUUAAAGGGUGCGUAGGUGGGCAGGUAAGUCAGUGGUGAAAUCCCCAAGCUUAACUUGGGAACUGCCAUUGAUACUAUUUGUCUUGAAUACCGUGGAGGUGAGCGGAAUAUGUCAUGUAGCGGUGAAAUGCUUAGAUAUGACAUAGAACACCAAUUGCGAAGGCAGCUUGCUACGCGGAUAUUGACACUGAUGCACGAAAGCGUGGGGAUCAAACAG